rnacentral:rRNA from 1 species
UACGUAGGUGGCAAGCGUUGUCCGGAUUUACUGGGCGUAAAGAGCGCGCAGGCGGCUGGUCAAGUCCGAUGUGAAAUCUCCCGGCUCAACUGGGAAACUGCAUCGGAAACUGACCGGCUUGAAGGUGGGAGAGGGUAGUGGAAUUCCCGGUGUAGUGGUGAAAUGCGUAGAUAUCGGGAGGAACACCAGUGGCGAAGGCGACUACCUGGCCUGUUCUUGACGCUGAGGCGCGAAAGCUAGGGGAGCAAACGGG